UUAAGCGACUAAGCGUACACGGUGGAUGCCCUGGCAGUCAGAGGCGAUGAAGGACGUGCUAAUCUGCGAUAAGCGUCGGUAAGGUGAUAUGAACCGUUAUAACCGGCGAUUUCCGAAUGGGGAAACCCAGUGUGAUUCGUCACACUAUCAUUAACUGAAUCCAUAGGUUAAUGAGGCGAACCGGGGGAACUGAAACAUCUAAGUACCCCGAGGAAAAGAAAUCAACCGAGAUUCCCCCAGUAGCGGCGAGCGAACGGGGAGCAGCCCAGAGCCUGAAUCAGUGUGUGUGUUAGUGGAAGCGUCUGGAAAGGCGCGCGAUACAGGGUGACAGCCCCGUACACAAAAAUGCACAUAUUGUGAGCUCGAUGAGUAGGGCGGGACACGUGGUAUCCUGUCUGAAUAUGGGGGGACCAUCCUCCAAGGCUAAAUACUCCUGACUGACCGAUAGUGAACCAGUACCGUGAGGGAAAGGCGAAAAGAACCCCGGCGAGGGGAGUGAAAAAGAACCUGAAACCGUGUACGUACAAGCAGUGGGAGCACGCUUAGGCGUGUGACUGCGUACCUUUUGUAUAAUGGGUCAGCGACUUAUAUUCUGUAGCAAGGUUAACCGAAUAGGGGAGCCGAAGGGAAACCGAGUCUUAACUGGGCGUUAAGUUGCAGGGUAUAGACCCGAAACCCGGUGAUCUAGCCAUGGGCAGGUUGAAGGUUGGGUAACACUAACUGGAGGACCGAACCGACUAAUGUUGAAAAAUUAGCGGAUGACUUGUGGCUGGGGGUGAAAGGCCAAUCAAACCGGGAGAKAGCUGGUUCUCCCCGAAAGCUAUUUAGGUAGCGCCUCGUGAAUUCAUCUCCGGGGGUAGAGCACUGUUUCGGCAAGGGGGUCAUCCCGACUUACCAACCCGAUGCAAACUGCGAAUACCGGAGAAUGUUAUCACGGGAGACACACGGCGGGUGCUAACGUCCGUCGUGAAGAGGGAAACAACCCAGACCGCCAGCUAAGGUCCCAAAGUCAUGGUUAAGUGGGAAACGAUGUGGGAAGGCCCAGACAGCCAGGAUGUUGGCUUAGAAGCAGCCAUCAUUUAAAGAAAGCGUAAUAGCUCACUGGUCGAGUCGGCCUGCGCGGAAGAUGUAACGGGGCUAAACCAUGCACCGAAGCUGCGGCAGCGACGCUGAUGCGUUGUUGGGUAGGGGAGCGUUCUGUAAGCCUGUGAAGGUGUGCUGUGAGGCAUGCUGGAGGUAUCAGAAGUGCGAAUGCUGACAUAAGUAACGAUAAAGCGGGUGAAAAGCCCGCUCGCCGGAAGACCAAGGGUUCCUGUCCAACGUUAAUCGGKGCAGGGUGAGUCGACCCCUAAGGCGAGGCCGAAAGGCGUAGUCGAUGGGAAACAGGUUAAUAUUCCUGUACUUGGUGUUACUGCGAAGGGGGGACGGAGAAGGCUAUGUUGGCCGGGCGACGGUUGUCCCGGUUUAAGCGUGUAGGCUGGUUUUCCAGGCAAAUCCGGAAAAUCAAGGCUGAGGCGUGAUGACGAGGCACUACGGUGCUGAAGCAACAAAUGCCCUGCUUCCAGGAAAAGCCUCUAAGCAUCAGGUAACAUCAAAUCGUACCCCAAACCGACACAGGUGGUCAGGUAGAGAAUACCAAGGCGCUUGAGAGAACUCGGGUGAAGGAACUAGGCAAAAUGGUGCCGUAACUUCGGGAGAAGGCACGCUGAUAUGUAGGUGAAGUCCCUCGCGGAUGGAGCUGAAAUCAGUCGAAGAUACCAGCUGGCUGCAACUGUUUAUUAAAAACACAGCACUGUGCAAACACGAAAGUGGACGUAUACGGUGUGACGCCUGCCCGGUGCCGGAAGGUUAAUUGAUGGGGUCAGCGCAAGCGAAGCUCUUGAUCGAAGCCCCGGUAAACGGCGGCCGUAACUAUAACGGUCCUAAGGUAGCGAAAUUCCUUGUCGGGUAAGUUCCGACCUGCACGAAUGGCGUAAUGAUGGCCAGGCUGUCUCCACCCGAGACUCAGUGAAAUUGAACUCGCUGUGAAGAUGCAGUGUACCCGCGGCAAGACGGAAAGACCCCGUGAACCUUUACUAUAGCUUGACACUGAACAUUGAGCCUUGAUGUGUAGGAUAGGUGGGAGGCUUAGAAGUGUGGACGCCAGUCUGCAUGGAGCCGACCUUGAAAUACCACCCUUUAAUGUUUGAUGUUCUAACGUUGACCCGUAAUCCGGGUUGCGGACAGUGUCUGGUGGGUAGUUUGACUGGGGCGGUCUCCUCCUAAAGAGUAACGGAGGAGCACGAAGGUUGGCUAAUCCUGGUCGGACAUCAGGAGGUUAGUGCAAUGGCAUAAGCCAGCUUGACUGCGAGCGUGACGGCGCGAGCAGGUGCGAAAGCAGGUCAUAGWGAUCCGGUGGUUCUGAAUGGAAGGGCCAUCGCUCAACGGAUAAAAGGUACUCCGGGGAUAACAGGCUGAUACCGCCCAAGAGUUCAUAUCGACGGCGGUGUUUGGCACCUCGAUGUCGGCUCAUCACAUCCUGGGGCUGAAGUAGGUCCCAAGGGUAUGGCUGUUCGCCAUUUAAAGUGGUACGCGAGCUGGGUUUAGAACGUCGUGAGACAGUUCGGUCCCUAUCUGCCGUGGGCGCUGGAGAACUGAGGGGGGCUGCUCCUAGUACGAGAGGACCGGAGUGGACGCAUCACUGGUGUUCGGGUUGUCAUGCCAAUGGCACUGCCCGGUAGCUAAAUGCGGAAGAGAUAAGUGCUGAAAGCAUCUAAGCACGAAACUUGCCCCGAGAUGAGUUCUCCCUGACUCCUUGAGAGUCCUGAAGGAACGUUGAAGACGACGACGUUGAUAGGCCGGGUGUGUAAGCGCAGCGAUGCGUUGAGCUAACCGGUACUAAUGAACCGUGAGGCUUAACCUU
rnacentral:rRNA from 1 species